UGGCGAUGAUGAUGAUGUAUCAUGAACAGAAGAUUAUAACUAAUCCAAUUCUGGUCAACUAUGAUCUAUU
rnacentral:snoRNA from 10 species